rnacentral:antisense_RNA from 1 species
AUGUGUGCGGGCUUGCCCGCGAUGGCGGUGGAUCAGUCAAGUAUCCAAUAACUGACCCACCGCAAUCGCGGGCAAGCCCGCUCCCAC